rnacentral:lncRNA from 1 species
CACAAGCUUAAACAUCAGCAGUGGCAUCAGUGACAGCAGGUGGUACAGAUUUCUGAAGACAUGAUAGAGAUUAUACUGAAAAAUGUUCAAUUUAGUUCUGAAAAAAUCACUGUAAAACUUGGUUCUGAUGUCCCUAACGGAGAGGAAAAAAAGAUGACUAUGAAAGAGCCUUUGCUUAGUUGUGAAGAAACUACUAUAUCCUUCAGUUUUAAAGCCUUUAUUAAAACGGUUUGGGAUGGCAUAAAGACUGGCUUACGCAAGAUCUUCUCUGGUAUCACAAGCCUCUUCAGCUGGUGGAGGCCAAAUAUCCACCAGGAUUAGACGCCCUGUGUGUCCUGGUUCCUGCACGACGUGGCAAAAGCAAGAUCUAUGGUGUGGUGUAUUGAUUAUGAUGCUGUUAGCCUACUCCACCAAAAGGGAACGUUCUACUAUUGAAGCGUUAUGUGUACAUCUGAUAUUGAAAAAAAAAAAAACUAAAAACUGUGGAAAUACCCCCAUGUGAACAUUUUUAAAUCCAAGUUAAAGGCCCUCUUUUUCUCUGUAUGAUUAUUAUAAUAAUAUGAUUUUUAAUCAUAUUAUUGAUGAUUUAAUGUUUUUAAUGCUGAUUUAUAAACUGUUAAAUGUUUUCUGUUGUACUUUUUAAUCAUGUAAAGCAUAUUGAAUUGCCUAUGAAAUGUGCUAUUAAGUUUAUGAAUGCUACCAUACACGUUUUAUUAUUCUCUGAUUUACUGCAGUCAUAAUAUGUGGAUUUUUUCUUUCAUAAUCAUAAAUCCCCA